rnacentral:rRNA from 1 species
ACCGGUUGAUUCUGCCGGAGCUAGCUGCUAUUCGAGUUGUACUAAGUCAUGCAAGUUAAGGCACCGUCUACGUUGGUGCCUAGCGAAAAACUUAGUAACGCGUAGAUAAUCUGCCCUGGAGUUGAGGAUAACCUCGGGAAACUGAGGCUAAACCGCGAUAGCCCCCCUAUGUUGGAAUACUUGGGGGGUAAAAGGAGUAAGAGCAUGGUCUUACACGCUUCAGGACGAGUCUGCGUCCCAUCAGGUUGUAGGUGGGGUAACGGCCCACCUAGCCGAGGACGGGUACGGGUUGUGAGAGCAAUGACCCGAAGUUGGAUUCUGAGACAACAAUCCAGGGGCUAUGGCUUGCAGCAGGCGAGAAAACUUGACAAUGCGCGAAAGCGUGAUCAGGCAACUCGAAGUCCUAGGAGCAAUUCUAGGUUUUGUCCAGCGUGAAUACCUGGGCGAAUAAGGAGAGGGCAAGAACGGUGCCAGCCGCCGCGGUAAAACCGUCUCUUCGAGUGGCUAGCGUGUUUAUUGGGCCUAAAGCAUCCGUAGGUGGAUAGGUCACUCCCACAUCAAAGCCAGCGCCUCAAGCGUUUGAACUGUGUGGGACAGUGCCUAUCUUGGCAAUGGGAGAGACGAGCGGUAUUCAGGGAGUAAAGGUGAAAUUUUAUAAUCCCCUGGAGACCACCGAUGGCGAAGGCAGCUCGUUGGAACAUGUGUGACACUGAUGGAUGAAAGCCAGGGGAGCGAGUCGGAUUAGAUACCCGGGUAGUCCUGGCUGUAAACGAUGCGGACUAAGUGUUAGGGGGUCUUGAGGCCUUCUAGUGCCGAAGCGAAGGCGUUAAGUCCGCCGCCUGGGAAGUACGGACGCAAGUCUGAAACUUAAAGAAAUUGGCGGGAGAGCGCCACAACCGGUGGAGCCUGCGGCUUAAUUGGACAGCGCCGAAAACCUCACCAGGGCCGACAGCAUUAUGAUCGUCAAGCUGAUGACUUUACGUGAAGCGCUGAGCGGAGGUGCAUGGCCGUCGUCAGUUCGUGCCGUGAGGUGUCGUGUUAAGUCACGCAACGAACGAGACCUCUACCACUAGUUGCUAGCGAACCCUGCGGGGUGUCGAGGACACUAGUGGGACUGCCAGUGCUAAACUGGAGGAAGGUAGAGGCCACGGCAGGUCAGUAUGCCCCUAAUGCCCUGGGCCGCACGCGGGCUACAAUGGGCGCCACAAUGGGAUCCUACCCCGAAAGGGGACGGAAAUCUCGAAAGGUGUCCGCAGUCUGGAUUGCGGGUUGCAACCCACCCCCAUGAAAUUGGAAUCGGUAGUAAUCGUGCUUCAUCAUAGCGCGGUGAAUACGUCCCCUCUCUUUGCACACACCGCCCGUCGCAGCACGGAAGUCGGGGAUGGAUGAGGCCGCCACUCAGUGUGGUGGUCGAGUCUGGCCUCGAUGACUGGGCUGAAGUCGUAACAAGGUA